AUGAACGCUGGCGGCGUGCCUAAUCCAUGCAAGUCGCGCGAACAGACGAGGAGCUUGCUCCUCUGACGUUAGCGGCGGACGGGUGAGUAACACGUGGAUAACCUACCUAUAAGACUGGGAUAACUUCGGGAAACCGGAGCUAAUACCGGAUAAUAUAUUGAACCGCAUGGUUCAAUAGUGAAAGACGGUUUUGCUGUCACUUAUAGAUGGAUCCGCGCCGCAUUAGCUAGUUGGUAAGGUAACGGCUUACCAAGGCGACGAUGCGUAGCCGACCUGAGAGGGUGAUCGGCCACACUGGAACUGAGACAUGGUCCAGACUCCUACGGGAGGCAGCAGUAGGGAAUCUUCCGCAAUGGGCGAAAGCCUGACGGAGCAACGCCGCGUGAGUGAUGAAGGUCUUCGGAUCGUAAAACUCUGUUAUUAGGGAAGAACAAAUGUGUAAGUAACUAUGCACGUCUUGACGGUACCUAAUCAGAAAGCCACGGCUAACUACGUG
rnacentral:rRNA from 1 species